rnacentral:lncRNA from 1 species
AACAAAUUAGCAGCUGGGAUAGUUACUGGAUUCUAGCUCUUAUUUAGAAGGACUCAAAGAUUCUAUGUGGAGCGAACAUAUUCCCCACAGGAAGCAUUUAUUGACGGCCUUGUGUUCUUGGCAUCGGGAGCCCUAAGAAGUCACCUCAGAGUAAACUGACCCUAGACUAGCUGUCCCAGAUUCCUGACUGUUGUUCUGUGUAUGGGGUAGAUGGUGGAUGAAGAGGGAGGGAGACAGUGUUGAACUUGGUUCCUGUGUUUAAGAUACGCCUUCAGAGUGAAGGUGGCGCCAGCUGCAGACAUUUGUGUAGGUAUCCUCACUAGAAAACUGUGGACUGUGAUUUAUUUUAUUAAAUAUAUAGAAGAUAGUUUGGCUUUUGUGUUCAGGUAAGAAGUAUUGAGGUUUUGAUUCAUUUUUGCAGUUUUUAAAAAAUAAUCCCCAGUGGAAGGAGGAAGGAGCUUUGUGUUCAUAGGUGUGCAUAUUUUAAGAUCAUGUGCCCUGGGAUUAAAGAGAUGAUGCUUCAGUGGGCAAGAGUAUGGAUUGCUCUAUCAGAGGACCAAAGCCUGGAACCCAGCCAGCAGAGCAGGCAAUUUCAAAAGCUUGUCCCUCCAGCCCCAAGAUAUCAGUGUCCCUUUCUGGCCUCUGUGGGCACACACACACACACACACACACACACACACGAGUGAGAGACAAGCAUAAAAACAAAUCCUUAAAAACAAGUUCUCUUUUUUUAAGAGGCAUUUAGGAGAUGACUUUGGUCACAAGAUACUGGUCUGGCAUCAAAGACCUUAUCUGUAGACAAAAAGGGAGCAUCUUCUAUGGUGUACAGGGCACGUUUAUGAAGCCCUAUGUACCCAGCUGCCUCCUCUGCCAACAGGGUCCUUCUGGACUCUCUUGCCAGCAUUUCUGCUCCUGCUGAUGUCCAUCUAAGAGGUUCCCAGGGCCAGCUUCCCAGAGCACAUCACAGUUUUUAACUUUACUGACUUUCUGCCUUAUUUACUGAGGGACUUGGAAAGUAGGAAGGAAUUAUUUGUAUAGAAAUGUGUGGGGGGAAGCCUAAAUAACAUCUAAUUUUUUUUUCAAAAACAUAGUAAGGGUUUAACCAUAAACAGGGGAGUGAUAUUUAAAUUUCUUACAAGCCUAGAAAAUUUUAUGUGUUUAUAUGGAGAGGUUAGUGGUCAGCAUAUAGUAUUUAUAUUUGGGCAAGAAGGGGUAAAUCAAAAUUUUAUUUAAACAUAGUUCCUUUAAAGAUUAAUAGUAUUUAUAUUCUAAAGAGAGUACAGUUUUUUAUUUAUUUGCCUUUUUUUUUUUUUUCCUGUUGCUUCUCCUAUGUGAGGGAAUGGUGUGAGGUUUUGGUUUGGUUUCUGUUUUUCCUUCGUUUAGUUCUUCAGAUUCACUAAAUUCGGGGAUAGAUUUAGUAAAUAUAUUAACUUCAUUUUAACCAAAGCUUUCUGCAUAUGACCAGCCUCAGGUGCUAGUGCACUAAAGAGCAACUAAACCCAAUUCCAGUGUCCACGUGUGACUAAGGAGAGCUGGCUGAGCGUCUCUAAGGGUGAGAGAGAUAGUGUGUGUGUGUGAUACUGAACUGCAGAGAAAUUCAUUUUCCCAGGAAGGAUUCUGUGUGUACCUUAUGUAAACCACGAACACAAGGUACUCCGAUCUCAUACUAUGCCACGGGGGCAUUGCUUUUACCACACACCAGGAGAGUGCGGUGAGACUUCCAGGUAUUCCUGAAAGAAAAGCAGAAAGCUGGCUUUCAGAGCAAAGUCCUCCGGCAUUGUAGCAAUGGCGCUAUAGAGCCAGAUGUGCUCUGAGAAACUGAAAGGACAGCUGGCUAGGACUUGUACCUAAGUUGAGAGUCACGGUGAGUCCUGCACAGGAUGUAAAACUUUGGCAUUUUUCUUUUCUUCCUGAUUGUGAGAACCACUUGUGUAGCACAGACUCAUGAGGCUUAAUAGUUCCUGUUGUUAAAGUUGCCUGAACUUAAAGGCUCUCCAGUCUCUGGAGACUGAAUCUCAUCAUCGUCAGCUCAGUUGCAAGAGGGCCAUCAGGUAGCUUUUUUUCUACAGAAAGUAAAUGAGGCUUUCGUACAAAGUCUGAAUGUGGUUACUGUGAUAAUGCAAACGAUUCAGGAACAUCAUUUUUUGGAUAGACCACAAAAUGUGCUAAGGCUAUGAGUUUGGGGUUUUUUGUUUGUUUUGUUUUGUUUAAAGCACUCAGUAUUCUAAUUUGUGUUAAAUCCAUGGACUUUUUUUUUCCCCCAAAGUCUUUAACAUCCUGAUUCACCCUUCCUAACUUAAGGAAAACAUGACAUAAGACACUGCUUCUAAGUUUGGUUGUCCUUUAGCCAGUGGAUACCAGAUCUCUGUGAGUGGAUGGGGGUGGGCUGAGAGUCAGGGGAGGAAGGAGCGUGUUUGCCUGGGUGUGUGGCUUUUGUGUGUAUGAAGUGUACACAAGUGUAUGUGUGUUAGACCGCUUCUAGGCUACUAAGUGUCAAUGGAAAAGAAAAUGUAUUCAAAAUACAUAAAUCAAAACUAGAAGAUGGAAAAAAAGAUUUAUUCUAUACAAAGCCUUGUCUGGACCACUCUAGAGAGACUUCUAUUUUUUUAAACCCUCUAUAAAUAUUUGAUGGCACUAGAAAUAUUCCUGCAAUAAAAUGUGAUUUGUGUAAAGAAAAAAAAAAGAUUUUGUAAUGUGAAACAAAGAAAGAAAGUAAUGUAAUUUUCUAAAAAAAAAAAUACAAACAAACAAACUUUGUAUUAUUUUCUUGAUGGAAUUUGCCUAUCUGUCUUUGGAAAACUUUUUAUUUCAUUGAAUGUGCCAUAGUAGAUGUACAUGCUUUUUGUUUUAGACUAAGGGAUGGCUGUUUGUGUUCCGACAUUCCAAAAUGCAAAGCAACUUAGCAGAAGCCUUGAUGAGGAGGUUUCGGUAGGAUGCAAGCGUCUCUCCUUGUUGCUUUUUUUGCACAAGUCUUUUUAAUUCUUACCUAGUGCAAUAUCUGUACAUAGAGCACUUGCGGGUGUACUUUGAUCCCUCAGGGAAAAACACAUAUUUGUACAGUUGUUGGGUUUGUUUUGGUUUUCUUGUUUGUUGUUUGAUUUAUUUUCCUUUUUCGUUCUUUGGCUAUGGAAUGUCGAUCGAAUCACUUGUUAUUGUUGAGAGGCAGCCAGAUAAUCAGCCUAAAGCCACUGUUUCAAACACCGAUUGUUUGAGUCAUGUCUUUCCAGUACUAUUAUUUUAAAAUGAUAUUAAUAAUAAUAAUAAUAAUAAAAAGCUAUUUUCUGACAGUUCUUUGUGCUGACUGGUAGAAAAAAUGGUAAAAAAAUAAUAAUAGUAAUAAGC